CGGCACCUAUCUUCGGAUAGAAGCGAGUGGCGAACGGCUGAGUAACACGUGGAGAACCUGCCCCCUCCCCCGGGAUAGCCGCCCGAAAGGACGGGUAAUACCGGAUACCCCGGGGUGCCGCAUGGCACCCCGGCUAAAGCCCCGACGGGAGGGGAUGGCUCCGCGGCCCAUCAGGUAGACGGCGGGGUGACGGCCCACCGUGCCGACAACGGGUAGCCGGGUUGAGAGACCGACCGGCCAGAUUGGGACUGAGACACGGCCCAG
rnacentral:rRNA from 1 species